AACGAACGCUGGCGGCAUGCCUAACACAUGCAAGUCGAACGAGACCUUCGGGUCUAGUGGCGCACGGGUGCGUCACGCGUGGGAACCUGCCCUUAGGUUCGGAAUAACUCUCCGAAAGGGGUGCUAAUAUCGGAUAAUGUCUUCGGACCAAAGAUUUAUCGCCCUUGGUUGGGCCCGGGUUGGAUUAGCUAGUUGGUAGGGUAAAAGCCUACCAAGGAGACGAUCCAUAGCUGGUCUGAGAGGAUGCUCAGCCACACUGGGACUGAGACACGGCCCAGACUCCUACGGGAGGCAGCAGUGGGGAAUAUUGGACAAUGGGCGAAAGCCUGAUCCAGCAAUGCCGCGUGAGUGAUGAAGGCCUUAGGGUUGUAAAGCUCUUUUACCCGGGAUGAUAAUGACAGUACCGGGAGAAUAAGCUCCGGCUAACUCCGUG
rnacentral:rRNA from 1 species